GACGAACGCUGGCGGCGUGCUUAACACAUGCAAGUCGAACGGUAAGGCCCUUCGGGGUACACGAGUGGCGAACGGGUGAGUAACACGUGGGUGAUCUGCCCUGCACUUCGGGAUAAGCCUGGGAAACUGGGUCUAAUACCGGAUAGGACCACUGCCUGCAUGGGUGGUGGUGGAAAGCUUUUGCGGUGUGGGAUGGGCCCGCGGCCUAUCAGCUUGUUGGUGGGGUGAUGGCCUACCAAGGCGACGACGGGUAGCCGGCCUGAGAGGGUGACCGGCCAAAGUGGGACUGAGAUGCGGCCCAGACUCCUACGGGAGGCAGCAGUGGGGAAUAUUGCACAAUGGGCGCAAGCCUGAUGCAGCGACGCCGCGUGAAGGAUGACGGCCUUCGGGUUGUACACCUCUUUCAGCACCGACGAAGCGCAAGUGACGGUAGGUGCAGAAGAAGGACCGGCCAACUACGUGCCAGCCGCCGCAGUAA
rnacentral:rRNA from 1 species